rnacentral:lncRNA from 1 species
UUCCUUGGAAUAAAGGAACUCCCAGGUAGGUGAAGGGAAGCACUCCAUGAGUGAAACUGAUUAAAUCUGAAAUGAUAGAAAUUCGGCCAGGGGAGAUGCUACUGGAGUAAAAAUGAGAUUUUUCUUUGUUGAUCAACUGACCAGAAGCUUCAACAUAUUUAUCAAAGAGGAGCAUUAUAUGCUUUAUAUUUCUUUUAGUGCCUUUGCAGGAAAUUAGAACAUCAUCAGCAUACAUGACAUGAGAAGAAGUGUUGAAAUGC